rnacentral:rRNA from 1 species
GACGAGGGGUCCAAGCGUUGUUCGGAAUCAUUGGGCGUAAAGCGGGUGUAGGCGGCUUUGUAAGUCAGGAGUGAAAUCCCCGAGCUUAACUUGGGAAGUGCUUUUGAUACUGCAGAGCUUGAAUGUGGGAGAGGGUAGUGGAAUUCCAGGUGUAGAGGUGAAAUUCGUAGAUAUUCGCAAGAACACCAGUGGCGAAGGCGGCUCACUGGCCCGAUACUGACGCUGAGGCACGAAAGCGUGGGGAGCAAACAGG